rnacentral:rRNA from 1 species
UACGUAGGGGGGCUAGCGUUGUCCGGAAUCAUUGGGCGUAAAGAGCGUGUAGGCGGCCCGGUAAGUCCGCUGUAAAAGUCAAAGGCUCAACCUUUGAAUGUCAGUGGAUACUGCCGGGCUAGAGUCCGGAAGAGGCGAGUGGAACUCCUGGUGUAGCGGUGGAAUGCGCAGAUAUCAGGAAGAACACCAACGGCGAAGGCAGCUCGCUGGGACGGUACUGACGCUGAGAGACGAAAGCUAGGGGGAGCGAAUGGG